UUCCACUAAAGCUCCGAGCGCCAGGGCAGCCCAGGCGCAGCCCGCCUCUGCGCGCCCGCGACCACGUGACGGUGAUUCACCCGGCGCGGCUUCCCGAUCCCGCGCGCGGACUCCUAGUCUGAGGGGAGCUGGGAGGAGGAGAAGAAGUAGGUUGAGGAGGAGUAGGAUGAGGAAGGAAGGGUGUGGGGAGAGGCAGGAGGGGAGUAGAGGGGACGAGGAGGUGCGGAGGCGCCAGCAGGUACCUGGGCCCUUCCGCCCCGAUGUGUUGGGGUCUGGGGCCCCGAAACGCCCCCUCCAGUCCAGCCUGGGCAAGCUGGGAGGCCGCCGGGUGCGCGCCAGCCACGGUCGCCUGCGUCGUGGAAAACCUAGAGAGCCCCAGGCGUUAGGCGCCUGGAGGCCACGCGGAGUUUUCGCGAACGCGCCGGGCGGUGCAGGGAUGCCCUGUCUGGGAGAGUGCACGGUGGGAAGCGGGCACGCCCUGUAGGCAGCUGCCUGCGCUUGUGUACGUGGCUGCUGACGUGGAGAACUGUAGCUGUGGAAAGCCUGCUACCCAGGAAGGACGCAGGGGGUGCAGUCGCGGCCCGUUCUCUGUGCCCGGAAAGUCCCGAGGGCACUAGGAGUUGUCAGAUUAAACCCCCAGACCCACGAGGUAUCUGUUUUCACCAGAAAAUUUGUGAAUUGACAGACCAUAAAAUCUGUGCAUUUCAGAUUCAUGGAGCCUUUUGCUUAGAAGACCUCUCUUCCUUCUGACUGACACAGCCCCAUCACAGGGUGCAGGGCUUGGCAAGUGGAGUACAGGAUGGAUUUCAGCCGUUACCACCUCUUCCCACCAGGACACGGUGCAGUAUACAAAUGGCACAUUGAAUGUGGUAGCUAUGAAGACAGGUUUUUGAAUUUCACUUUCUGUGCUUCAGCUCAGGAGAUACGUUGUUUAUUCUAUUGUUCUGUCUUAGUCAACUUUAAUAGCUGGAUCUGGGGAAGAGAUGGUUCAGUAUUUUUUGUCGUUGAAUCCGAUGGUUGAUUGCUAAUUAUUAGUUAAGGUAAUCUACAAACAUCCUGCUGACAUUCAAGAUUGUUUUCUAUCAGACGUUUCAUGAAGCCACUUAAUUUAGGGUUAAGGUCCUGCUGGACCUUAUAGGAAUCUAAAAGCAAGGAGAAAGGCAUCAGAAUAUCACACCCUUUUAGCUAUAAAUCAUAUUUCUGUAAUGCUGUUGCUACUUUUUUUCUACAUGCUCUUGCAAUUUAAGAUGAUGCAUUUUAUUUCCAGUGGUUUGCAAACUGUAACUGAAAGACAGAAUGCUCGGAAAAGCCUCUGGCUAAAAACUAGUCUAUUGACAUAGAAUCAUGUCAGGAGUGGCCCGUGAGAUUUGUGGGUUUUGGCCUCUUGUUUCUCAUCCAAUAUUUCUUUUCAGGAUUAUCACAGUUAAAUUCCUCAUAGGAUAUGCACUAGAUUAAAAUCACAUUAAAGCUUGGACUUAAGCAUAGCAAAAAGUCUUGAUUCUUUGACAUUACCUCCCAAGAUUCUUCUGUUAUGGUUUCAGUGGUCCUGAACUUUGGAAGAUGCAGAUAAGAUAAUAACUCCACUAUCCCCUACAAGGAGGAUGCCACCUGUAAUAAGGCACUGAGAAGUUUUAUUGUCUCAAAUAUAUUUAUUCUCAUUCUUAAGAAAACUUGAAAUAACUUGUGUUGUUUUGUUCUUAUUUCUGUUUAGAAAUCUUUUUCAUUUCCCCUGCCCUGUCUUUUCCAUUCAGAAAUGAGUACAGACUGUUUUUUAGCUCACUCAUGAGCUCUAGAAACAGUCGUUUUGAUUAUUAAAUUUUUAUCUAACAAUAAGUAACAUGCACUUAAUGCAUUAUAGUUUAUAAAGCACUUUUUUCCAAAUGCAUUACACAUUUAAUAUCAUGAACUUUUGAGAUGGAUAUUACAAUUUUCUCCUUUUUUGCAAACUGGGAAACUAAAGCUCAGAGAUCCAUGUACUGUGCUACCCAAAGGAUAUAGGAAGAGAACCAGACUUUUUACCUUUAAUUGAUCAAAAAAGAGAUGUCAUCACAAUUUCCAUGUGAGUAACCUGUCCUGAAAUUAUAAGACAUCCUUUGCUCACUUAAUCACAUGUAGUGUUGUUGCUGGACUUUUCCUUAGUUCAGCUAAAGAUGGGGUUCUUGUCAUAGGGCCAUGAAAAUUUAGGCUUGCAGACAAUUUAAAGGGUGAGUAAGGCAGGGUUUUAUUGGGUGGAAAGGAAGACAAGGGGAAAUGGAGACUCUUAGCAAAGCAAGAGAGUGUGCUUCUUGCCCCUGGGUUCCCGCCUUGCUGAUUGAAUCCCAGGUUUCACCCAGGAAGAGGAGGGGCUGGGCUUCUCCCUGCAGACUUCUGUGGCUCCGCCCCAGUGCGCAGGCCAGUUGGAGUUUUGUUGGGGAGCCUUUCCCAUGUGACUGUCUCUGUGUAGUACAUGUGAUGUGGCCUAAAUUGGAAAAUAUCUAAAUUAGUAGCUACCUGUGAAUUUGUCCUAACUUAUUUAGAGAAUCUUUUGAAAUGAUUUAAAAUUCUUUGGGUUGUCAGCUCAGACUACGCGCGCGCACACACACACACACACACACACACACACGAACAACCCUUGAGCAAAAUUAACAGUAGUGAAUCUGCAGCCUUUCAAAGUAAUCAGAGAACCUUGAACUCCAGCUAAUUUGACAUUUUCACCUUUUCUAACUUUUUUCAGAGUGUGUUGACAUUCAGGUCAAUUUUGAGCUGCUUUUAAGAAUACCUAGUGUCUAGUAUAGUAUAGGUAUUUCCAUAAAUGACUGAAUUGUUCA